rnacentral:rRNA from 1 species
CCUACGGGAGGCAGCAGUGGGGAAUUUUGGACAAUGGGCGCAAGCCUGAUCCAGCAAUGCCGCGUGCAGGAUGAAGGCCUUCGGGUUGUAAACUGCUUUUGUACGGAACGAAACGGUCUGCUCUAAUACAGUGGGCUAAUGACGGUACCGUAAGAAUAAGCACCGGCUAACUACGUGCCAGCAGCCGCGGUAAUACGUAGGGUGCGAGCGUUAAUCGGAAUUACUGGGCGUAAAGCGUGCGCAGGCGGUUAUAUAAGACAGAUGUGAAAUCCCCGGGCUCAACCUGGGACCUGCAUUUGUGACUGUAUAGCUAGAGUGCGGCAGAGGGGGAUGGAAUUCCGCGUGUAGCAGUGAAAUGCGUAGAUAUGCGGAGGAACACCGAUGGCGAAGGCAAUCCCCUGGGCCUGCACUGACGCUCAUGCACGAAAGCGUGGGGAGCAAACAGGAUUAGAUACCCUGGUAGUCCACGCCCUAAACGAUGUCAACUGGUUGUUGGGUCUUCACUGACUCAGUAACGAAGCUAACGCGUGAAGUUGACCGCCUGGGGAGUACGGCCGCAAGGUUGAAACGUCAAAGGAUUGACGG